UACGUAGGGUGCGAGCGUUAAUCGGAAUUACUGGGCGUAAAGCGUGCGCAGGCGGUUCGUUGUGUCGGUGGUGAAAUCCCCGGGCUUAACCUGGGAAUGGCCAUGGAAACUGGCGAACUGGAGUGCGGCAGAGGGGGGUGGAAUUCCGCGUGUAGCAGUGAAAUGCGUAGAUAUGCGGAGGAACACCGAUGGCGAAGGCAAUCCCCUGGGCCUGUACUGACGCUCAUGCACGAAAGCGUGGGGAGCAAACAGG
rnacentral:rRNA from 1 species